GUUCUCUCGUCACACACAGUGCUCACGGUGGCCCCUGGUGCGGGCCGGCCCGUGGUCCUGCCCCUGGUCCCGCUCACAGCCAUCCUGAGGCCCCCUGGUGCACGCAGCCAGUUCUGAAAUGCUUCGGUCAGGGCUGUCCUGGAGGAGAGCACAGAGGCCGUGGGAGCUGGGGAGGCAUCUAUGAAGGAGGGCUUCCUGGAGGGGACACUGGCACUGUGAUGUGAAGGUGGAAAGGGCCUCCCAGGAGAGGGGACUGUUCAUCUCGAGGUGGCACCUGGCCGGCCGUGGGACCAUGACGCUGCUCUGGGAGCCCGUGGAAGCCUGGCUAGUGCUGGCCCUGGCCUUGGCGCUGGCCCUGGGCCCCAGUGUGGGUGUAGCUGCCCCGAGGCAGGACUGCACGGGUGUGGAGUGCCCGCCGCUGGAGCACUGCAUCGAGGAGGCGCUGGAGCCGGGCGGUGCCUGUG
rnacentral:lncRNA from 1 species